GGCAACAGAGCAAGACUCUGUCUCAAAAAACAAAAAAAAACAAACAAACAGCAACAAAAAAACUCAUUACUGUCUUGGGUAUCCAAAACCCCAUUUCCGCCUUUUUUAACUGCCAUAGAAAACAUUGCGCUUCCCUCCUUUAUGCAGGUCCGAUGCAGACCACAGGUGCUCAGAUGGCGGGCAAGCCUGCCUUCCAUGCUCCCUCCACCAUCGUCCUCCUCGGGGAGCUAAGACAGCUGCUUGGGCUGGAUAACAACCCAAGAAGUGGACACCUAGCACUCUGCUGGUGCACACAGUGAGGUGACUGGGCCCAUCUCCAGGCUGGAGUGAAGUCUGUCAUGCUGUGGGUGGAAGCCAAGGCGAUGUGAGUGAAGAGCUGGGAAGCAGAAGCAGGCUCACCUUGGAGUCAGAACAAAGCUACUAAUGUGGGAAGGGAAAACCUUAAGUUAAAAAACACAACGCAGAGGUUUUCAUCCCAGCCUGAAGACUAAAGAUUUUGGGUCAAGAAGCCAAAGAGGAACUCAGAAGCCACAAACAGAGACCCAGGUUCAACCCCUACCAGGGUCUUUCUGACUGCCUUUCCCUGGCGCUGGCUCUGCUGUGAGUCUCUCCACCAAGCCGGGGGGACACCCUACUGAGGGGAACAUCAGCACCCAGGGGGACACCUGCGGCAGGGGGACACCUGCACCAGGGAGGCACCUCUGCCGGGCAGGCACCUCCAGCGGGAGGGACACGUCACCGGGGGGAUGCCUGCGUCGAGGGGAACACCUGUGCUGGGGGGCACCUCACGGAGGGGACACCUCCGCUGGAGGGACACGUGCACCUUGGAGGACACCUGCACCAGGAAAGACAUUUGUGCCCGGAGGGACACUGCUCCAAGCAGGGACACCUGGUCCGAGAGGGGACACCUGCGCCAGGAAGGACAACUGCGCCUGGGGGUGCGGAUACCGUCAAGCGGACACCUGUACCAGGAAGGAUACUUGUGCCUGGGGGGACACCUGUGCCUGAGGGGACACCUGCACCUUGGAGGACACCUGCGCCAGGAAGGACACUUGUGCCUGGAGGGACACCUGCCCCAAGGAGGGACACCUGCUCCGAAGGGGGGACACCUGCGCCUGGUGCGGGGGAGACACCGUCAAGGAGAAACCUGCACCAGGAAGGACACUUGUGCCUGGGGGGACACAUGUGCCUAGGGGACACCUGCGCCUGGGGGGACACAUGUGCCGGGGAGGACACCUGCGCCGAGGGAACACCUGCGCCGAGGACACUCGCACGAGCGGGAUACUCCACGGGACCCUGAACGGCCUCCCUGCCCUCCAGGUCCCGGUCCGGCCUCCCCCUACGCGCCCCCGCGGAAGCCAGAGACAGGGAGAGCAAGGAUGAAACACGGCGACCACCGCCCAGGGACCCGCGGGCCGUCAGGACCUGCUGCCGACUCACCCUCUAAGCCUACGCCGCCGCCUCAGCCGCCGCCUCCGGAGUCCCGGAAGUGGACAGCGAACGGGUACUUCCGCUUCCGGCAACGGUGCCGGAAGCAUGGGUCCGGCCCUCCGGGCGGGGCGGGUACCCGUCUCUUGGCCGAGCGACUUCAGCUCGGGGACGUGCCCCGUGGCCGCUCCCCAGCAGGACAUGGUAACUGCCGGGGUGGGGGUCUCCUUGCCCGUCCCAGCCCCCCCAACUCAGGCCCUCCGGCGACCCCCGCGUGCGCCCUUCCCCAGGGCCGGCGCAGUCUUGGAAGCCUCCGCCCAGCGUGGCUGCCUGCGUUUUCUCUCCGUUCCCUUCCCGACCUCCGGAGAGAAGACAGCCCCAGAGCCGCUGUGGCUCCGUCCUCCGCUGACGCCUCAUGUCUUUAUGUUGGCCUUGCCGUCCGCACUGCAGUGUGGCAGGGGCGUCCCGCCUUUGCCGCGGACUGAGGUGGGCGCCGAGCAUUCAGCAAACGAGGAAACGAAAGCGGGGGAAGUUGGGAAUCAAGCGUCUGUCUGCCUGCCACCAGCAGACAAGCGGCUUUGGGCACCCCUUGGACCCAAACACGAACUCAGCCCCUGCAGGAGCGCAGUCAUCGGCACCCACGUGGGAACAAUGCCCUGGGAUGGGUGGCCACGGGAUGUUUCUGGGGCCCCUCAGAGGCCCAGCGGCGCGGGUCUUGGAGAAUGAAUGUGUGUCGCUGGGCCGCUGCUGCAGAGGGCCGGUCCUGAGUCGCUGCUUGGAAGAGAGGCCCAUGGCCAGCACUUGGCUUCACCAGGAGGAAAAAGCACGUGUUAAACCACCAGCAUUCGGGGUUUGUCUGUUUGAUAAAGGAUGCACCAACUAACAAGAAAGUCCUUCAUAGGUUGCAGCUGCUAGGUUGUGCCCCUGGCCCCUCCUGAAAAUCGGCCACACAAAAGGAAGGGUCUGGAAGGUGGCAGAGAAGCCUGCAGAGACAAGGAAAGUGGCAGCAGCAUGGGGCGGGGUCACACAGGAUGGAGAUGGAGCUGUGGGAGCCCCCGCUGCCACUCCCACAAGGAGCGCAGCCCCGUGCCCUGCUGAUGCUAACACCCCGGCUCUGUUAUUUCAGUUUUUCCUUGUAAUUUCUGAAAAUCUAGCAACAAGUUGAGCAAUGAAAAAAAUUUUUUAAAAACAGUUAAAAUUAUGUUAGAAAUUAUGACUAAUUUUGAAACUAAUGAAGGAAAAAAAAUGGCCUUUUAAAAAUUACCAAAGCUUUUAGGACUCUUCAAAAUAUAGUAACAUUGAGUAUUAUGAACUAAAGACUCAUACUGUUAUUCAGUGUCUGGUAGUGAAUUUGGAUGGACUGUCUAGUAACUUCUUAACA